GAUCUUGUCUACAGAUAUUUACCUGUGUGCACACCAGUAGCGGCAUCGUUCGUUCUGGUCUGUUCUGUUUGGUGAGUUUCAAUUAAAUUAUGUGGAACUCUACGCACGCUACACCCUGGUCCAUUCUUUUCGACAAGCGUGACACUGUCAAUUCAGAGACAUUGAGUUGGAAGAAGAGACAGUUAGUGACAGUGAGUAGGAAGAAGAGGAUGAGAUGGACCCUCAGCCAGCCCCAGGACCAUCCCUUCAGCAACCAGCUCAUCAGCAGCCUGCAAGAGGAGAAAUAUGGAUCUCAAAAAUUGUGUUUUCUUGCCCAAGGAAUGAGUCACCCCGCAUUGCUGCUAAUGUGAUAAGGAUGCAACCAGGGCUGAUGCGGAUGGUGGUUAUCCAUCUGAAGGACAUUGAGUCUAAUUUUUUACUUUGCACAAGCUGGGACAGGAGCUCCUCAAGAGGAAGCUGACAAUGGUAGGAACAGUAUGAAAAACAAGCCAGCGCUCCCACUUCAGCUGUUGAAUACACAGAACAGGCCUAUCAAUCCUUCUAAGUUUGUGUUCAUGGCUAACAUGUCCCUAGUGUCCUAUGUGCCAAAGGAAGGCGAACAUGUGGUACUCAUGAGUAGGCUGCAUAGGGAUGGGAUAAUCUGUGGCCAGGAACAUCAACCUGAAAUCACAAACGGAGGGGUGGACAAUUUAGACAAGCUGGUGACUGGCUACACCAGCAAAAUAAGAACCCUACGCUACCCUACGAGAAGACUGCUCUUUCUCGAGGCAUUGGUAAGACCACAAAUCCAGAGGAGGCAACAUAUCCCAAGGACCAUAGCUUCUGCAGCCUUCGUGAGGAGGAUGCUGGUGCCCCAUCCGCCCGACACACAGAGCCAACAACUCCAAUACCGGAAAUUGCAGCCAGUAGCAACAAGAAGAAAUGCUGUGAUGUGAUGUGAUGUGAUGUGAUGUGUGUGUGUGUGUGUGUGUGGACCCAAGAAGGACAGGAAGACAGUACACAUGCAUCAAGUGCAAGAAAUACAUUUGCAACACACACAGAGUAAAACUCUGUCCCCCAUGUGGUGCGUAGACCGGCCUUAAUUUGUGUUCAAUGGGGCUCAUUGAUCAUUUCCAUAAAAUACUGCAUGUAAAAUUUGUCUUUCCAAUUUGUUCAGUUCAAGCAAUAAACAUCAAUAGUGAUAACCUUGUUUAAUUUACAUUUGUUCAAGAUAAACAUUUAUUCCA